CACCUCCACCUCUAUCCUCUGGAAACCGGCUCCUGCUGCCAGAUCCCCACCCCGUCCUCGACAUGCUGCAAUACCAUUUAAUUUUCCCCUAAAGCCUUCAGCCCAGGAGACAGGCGCUCCAGAGGAAGCAUCAGCUCCACCCCCCACCUACAGAGCAAAAUGGACCUCAGUCUUCACAAGAAGAUCACAUGUGUGAUGGUGAAGAGAAAAGCCUUCCAGUGCAGGAACUGAGCCUGUGCUAUUGGAAAUCCAGACUCCAGAAGCUGGAGUCCAUGAUGAAGAAGGCACUCAGGAGGAAUUGGA